rnacentral:rRNA from 1 species
CCUACGGGCGGCAGCAGUCGAGAAUCAUUCACAAUGGGGGAAACCCUGAUGGUGCGACGCCGCGUGGGGGAAUGAAGGUCUUCGGAUUGUAAACCCCUGUCAUGUGGGAGCAAAUUAAAAAGAUAGUACCACAUGAGGAAGAGACGGCUAACUCUGUGCCAGAAGCCGCGGUAAUACAGAGGUCUCAAGCGUUGUUCGGAAUCACUGGGCGUAAAGCGUGCGUAGGCUGUUUCGUAAGUCGUGUGUGAAAGGCGCGGGCUCAACCCGCGGACGGCACAUGAUACUGCGAGACUAGAGUAAUGGAGGGGGAGCCGGAAUUCUCGGUGUAGCAGUGAAAUGCGUAGAUAUCGAGAGGAACACUCGUGGCGAAGGCGGGUUCCUGGACAUCAACUGACGCUGAGGCACGAAGGCCAGGGGAGCGAAAGGGAUUAGAUACCCGAGUAGUC